ACAAUGGGUGAUACAGAGGGCCGGCCGCUGGCAACAUCGGUCCAAUCCUUAAAGUCAUCCUCAGUUCGGACUGGGGUCUGCAACCCGACCCCACGAAGCUGGAUUCGCUAGUAAUCGCGCAUCAGCCAUGGCGCGGUGAAUACGUUCCCGGGCCUUGUACACACCGCCCGUCAAGCCAUGAAAGCCGGGGGCGCCUGAAGUCCGUGACCGCGAGGGUCGGCCUAGGGUGAAACCGGUGAUUGGGGCUAAGUCGUAACAAGGUAGC
rnacentral:rRNA from 1 species